GGUGGCUCAGUGGUAGAACCCUUGCCUUGCAUGCAUGAAGCCCUGGGUUCGAUUCCCCAGCACCA
rnacentral:tRNA from 1 species